UACGUAGGGUGCAAGCGUUGUCCGGAAUUAUUGGGCGUAAAGAGCUCGUAGGCGGUUUGUCGCGUCUGCUGUGAAAAUCCAGGGCUUAACCCUGGACCUGCAGUGGGUACGGGCAGACUAGAGUGCGGUAGGGGAGAUCGGAAUUCCUGGUGUAGCGGUGAAAUGCGUAGAUAUCAGGAGGAACACCUGUGGUGUAGACAGCUUACUGGACCACUUCUGACGCUGAGACACGAAAGCGUGGGUAGCAAACCGG
rnacentral:rRNA from 1 species